CGAACGGGUGAGUAACACAUCGGAACGUGCCCAAUAGUGGGGGAUAGCCCGGCGAAAGCCGGAUUAAUACCGCAUACGACCUAGGGGUGAAAGCGGGGAUCGCAAGACCUCGCGCUAUCGGAGCGGCCGAUGUCAGAUUAGCUAGUUGGUGGGGUAAAAGCCUACCAAGGCGACGAUCUGUAGCUGGUCUGAGAGGACGACCAGCCACACUGGGACUGAGACACGGCCCAG
rnacentral:rRNA from 1 species